UACGUAGGGGGCAAGCGUUGUCCGGAAUUACUGGGCGUAAAGAGCGUGUAGGCGGGUUAUUAAGUCAGGUGUGAAAACUUGGGGCUCAACCGCAAGAUUGCACCUGAUACUGGUAGUCUUGAGGGUAUGAGAGGGAGACGGUAUUCCUAGUGUAGCGGUGAAAUGCGUAGAUAUUAGGAGGAACACCAGUGGCGAAGGCGGUCUUCUGGCAUACAACUGACGCUGAGACGCGAAAGCGUGGGGAG
rnacentral:rRNA from 1 species